UUGUGAUCACAACUACAAGCCACCGCGAACUACACUUAUCAUACUAGCUCUCGUCACCAAUGCCCCGAAGCUCUGACGAAUCUUGCAAGAUCCGCGGCUAUCACAUUCCCAAAGGCACUGCGUUGUUUACUUUGGCCAUGGGACGCGAUCCAAGAAUCUGGGAACACCCUACGAAGUUUAUGCCCGAGAGAUUCCCAGGGCUAGCAUUUCGAGCUCAAUACCGUUUGGAUGGUUUGCUAUGUCCAGGGAAAGGUUUACACUCCUUGGAGGUGGUAUAAGAGCUUUUAAAUUGGAAGCAUAUUCUAUUUGGUCUAUAAUCCAAACAUUUUGGAUUUGGCA